CCUACGGGAUGCAGCAGUGAGGAAUAUUGGUCAAUGGACGAGAGUCUGAACCAGCCAAGUAGCGUGAAGGAUGACUGCCCUAUGGGUUGUAAACUUCUUUUAUAUGGGAAUAAAAUGUUCCACGUGUGUGCUUUUGUAUGUACCAUAUGAAUAAGGAUCGGCUAACUCCGUGCCAGCAGCCGCGGUAAUACGGAGGAUCCGAGCGUUAUCCGGAUUUAUUGGGUUUAAAGGGUGCGUAGGUGGAUGGUUAAGUCAGUUGUGAAAGUUUGCGGCUCAACCGUAAAAUUGCAGUUGAAACUGGAAGGCUUGAGUACAGGAGAGGUGGGCGGAAUGCGUGGUGUAGCGGUGAAAUGCUUAGAUAUCACGAAGAACUCCGAUUGCGAAGGCAGCUCACUGGAGUGCAACUGACACUGAGGCUCGAAAGUGUGGGUAUCAAACAGGAUUAGAUACCCGAGUAGUC
rnacentral:rRNA from 1 species